rfam:Termitomyces sp. J132 unplaced genomic scaffold scaffold439, whole genome shotgun sequence.
GGUGAGAUGGCCGAGCGGUCUAAGGCGCCAGACUAAGGUAAGCUUGAUCACCUUAUCAUUAUCUGGUCUCUUCGGGGGCGGGAGUUCGAAUCUCCCUCUCAUCA